rnacentral:rRNA from 1 species
GGUGAAAUUGUAAUUCCGGUGAAGAUGCCGGAUACCUGCGACAGGACGGAAAGACCCCAUGGAGCUUUACUGUAGCUUGACAUUGGGUCUUGGUACUACAUGUACAGGAUAGGUGGGAGGCUUUGAAACCAGGACGCCAGUUUUGGCGGAGCCAUCCUUGGGAUACCACCCUUGUAGUACUGGGACUCUAACCAUAGGCCAUGAAUCUGGUCUUGGGACACUGUCAGGUGGGCAGUUUGACUGGGGCGGUCGCCUCCCAAAAGGUAACGGAGGCGCUCAAAGGUUCUCUCAGUACGGUCGGAAAUCGUACGUAGAGUGUAAAGGCAAAAGAG